rnacentral:tRNA from 1 species
GGGGAUGUAGCUCAGAGGAUAGAGCGCUCACUACAAAAUGAGAGAACUGGCGCAGGUUCGAAUCCUGCCACCCCCACGA